GAAGGUAUAGCUUAGUGCUACAGUGUCUACCUUGCAUGCAUGAGAUUCUGGGUCCAAUCCCUAGUACCUCCA
rnacentral:tRNA from 1 species